rnacentral:rRNA from 1 species
CCUACGGGUGACAGCAGUAGGGAAUCUUCCACAAUGGGCGAAAGCCUGAUGGAGCAACGCCGCGUGGGUGAAGAAGGUCUUCGGAUCGUAAAACUCUGUUGUUAGAGAAGAAAGUGCGUGAGAGUAACUGUUCACGUUUCGACGGUAUCUAUCCAGAAAGCCACGGCGAACUACGUGCCAGCAGCCGCGGUAAUACGUAGGUGGCAAGCGUUAUCCGGAUUUAUUGGGCGUAAAGGGAACGGAGGCGGUCUUUUAAGUCUGAUGUGAAAGCCUUCGGCUUAACCGGAGUAGUGCAUUGGAAACUGGGAGACUUGAGUGCAGAAGAGGAGAGUGGAACUCGAUGUGUAGCGGUGAAAUGCGUAGAUAUAUGGAAGAACACCAGUGGCGAAGGCGGCUCUCUGGUCUGUAACUGACGCUGAGGUUCGAAAGCGUGGGUAGCAAACAGGAUUAGAUACCCUUGUAGUC